UACGAAGGGGGCUAGCGUUGCUCGGAGUCACUGGGCGUAAAGGGUGCGUAGGCGGGUCUUUAAGUCAGGGGUGAAAUCCCAAGGCUCAACCUUGGAACUGCCUUUGAUACUGGGGAUCUUGAGUCCGGGAGAGGUGAGUGGAACUGCGAGUGUAGAGGUGAAAUUCGUAGAUAUUCGCAAGAACACCAGUGGCGAAGGCGGCUCACUGGCCCGGAACUGACGCUGAGGCACGAAAGCGUGGGGAGCAAACAGG
rnacentral:rRNA from 1 species